rnacentral:rRNA from 1 species
GAUGAACGCUGGCGGCGUGCCUAAUACAUGCAAGUCGAGCGAACGGAUAAGGAGCUUGCUCCUUUGAAGUUAGCGGCGGACGGGUGAGUAACACGUGGGUAACCUACCUAUAAGACUGGAAUAACUUCGGGAAACCGGAGCUAAUGCCGGAUAACAUAUAGAACCGCAUGGUUCUAUAGUGAAAGAUGGUUUUGCUAUCACUUAUCGAUGGACCCGCGCCGUAUUAGCUAGUUGGUAAGGUAAUGGCUUACCAAGGCGACGAUACGUAGCCGCGCUGAGGGGGUGAUCGGCCACACUGGAGCUGAGACACGGUCCAGACUCCUACGGGAGGCAGCAGUAGGGAAUCUUCCGCAAUGGGCGAAAGCCUGACGGAGCAACGCCGCGUGAGUGAUGAAGGUUUUCGGAUCGUAAAGCUCUGUUAUUAGGGAAGAACAAAUGCGUAAGUAACUGUGCGCAUCUUGACGGUACCUAAUCAGAAAGCCACGGCUAACUACGUGCCAGCCGCCGCGGUAA